rnacentral:rRNA from 1 species
UGCGCAGGCGGCCAGGUGUGUCGGAGGUGAAAUUUUGCAGCUUAACUGUAAACGUGCCUUCGAAACUACCUGGCUAGAGUAUCGGAGAGGUAAGCGGAAUUCCAGGUGUAGCAGUGAAAUGCGUAGAUAUCUGGAGGAACACCAAUGGCGAAGGCAGCUUACUGGACGAUUACUGACGCUCAGCAGAAAGCAUGGGGGGCAAAG